UUCCGGUUGAUCCCGCCGGACCUGACUGCUAUCGGAUUGAUACUAAGCCAUGCGAGUCUUUGCAGUAAUGCAAGGCAUACGGCUCAGUAACACGUAGUCAACUUACCCUAUGGACGAGGAUAAUCUCGGGAAACUGAGCAUAAUACUCGAUAGAUCAUAAUGCCUGGAAUGGUUUAUGGUUAAAAUGAUUCGUCGCCAUAGGAUGGGACUGCGGCCUAUCAGCUUGUUGGUGAGGUAAUGGCCCACCAAGGCGAUUACAGGUACGGGCUCUGAGAGGAGAAGCCCGGAGAUGGGUACUGAGACAAGGACCCAGGCCCUAUGGGGCGCAGCAGGCGAGAAAACUUUGCAAUGUGCGAAAGCACGACAAGGUUAAUCCGAGUGAUUUCUGCUAAAGAAAUCUUUUGCAAGUCAUAAAACCACUAGUGAAUAAGGGGUGGGCAAGUUCUGGUGUCAGCCGCCGCGGUAAAACCAGCACCUCAAGUGGUCAGGAGGAUUAUUGGGCCUAAAGCAUCCGUAGCCGGCUCUGUAAGUUUUCGGUUAAAUCCAUGUGCUCAACGCAUGGGCUGCCGAAAAUACUGCAUAGCUAGGGAGUGGGAGAGGUAGACGGUACUCGGUAGGAAGGGGUAAAAUCCUUUGAUCUAUCGAUGACCACCUGUGGCGAAGGCGGUCUACCAGAACACGUUCGACGGUGAGGGAUGAAAGCUGGGGGAGCAAACCGGAUUAGAUACCCGGGUAGUCCCAGCUGUAAACGAUGCAGACUCGAUGAUGCAUUGGCAUAUAGCCAGUGCAGUGUCGCAGGGAAGCCGUUAAGUCUGCCGCCUGGGAAGUACGUACGCAAGUAUGAAACUUAAAGGAAUUGGCGGGGGAGCACCACAAGGGGUGAAGCCUGCGGUUCAAUUGGAGUCAACGCCGG
rnacentral:rRNA from 1 species